GACGAACGCUGGCGGCGUGCUUAACACAUGCAAGUCGAACGGUAAGGCCCUUCGGGGUACACGAGUGGCGAACGGGUGAGUAACACGUGGGUGAUCUGCCCUGCACUUCGGGAUAAGCCUGGGAAACUGGGUCUAAUACCGGAUAGGACCCUGGGAUGCAUGUCCUGGGGUGGAAAGCUUUUGCGGUGUGGGAUGGGCCCGCGGCCUAUCAGCUUGUUGGUGGGGUGAUGGCCUACCAAGGCGACGACGGGUAGCCGGCCUGAGAGGGUGACGUGCCACACUGGGAAUGAGAUACGGCCCAGACUCCUACGGGAGGCAGCAGUGGGGAAUAUUGCACAAGGGGCGCAAGCCUGAUGCAGCGACGCCGCGUGAGGGAUGACGGCCUUCGGGUUGUAAACCUCUUUCAGCACCGACGAAGCGCAAGUGACGGUAGGUGCAGAAGAAGGACCGGCCAACUACGUGCCAGCCGCCGCAGUAA
rnacentral:rRNA from 1 species